AGGACGAACGCUGGCGGCGUGCUUAACACAUGCAAGUCGAGCGGAAAGGCCCUUUCGGGGGUACUCGAGCGGCGAACGGGUGAGUAACACGUGAGUAACCUGCCCCCUACUUUGGGAUAACCCUCGGAAACGGGGGCUAAUACCGGAUAUGACACCUUGGGGCAUCUUGGGGUAGUGGAAAGUUUUUCGGUGGGGGAUGGGCUCGCGGCCUAUCAGCUUGUUGGUGGGGUAAUGGCCUACCAAGGCGACGACGGGUAGCC
rnacentral:rRNA from 1 species